GUAUUUAAAUAUCAACUCUCUUUUGUUACAGCUGUGUAAGAGCCAUAUAAAAUCAAGUAACAUGUAGGAGAGAAAAGGGGUCAUGAAGGAGGAGUUUGAGCAAAAAGUAAUGCUAAAAAAGAAAAAAAAAUCCAUUGCAAAUGGUAAUGUAAAUAAGGUAAAACUUGAAAACUAUGAAGCAAUACUGCAGAUAGUCAUGUCUGAAGGAAUACCUAGAGGGUUCUUUUUGGUGGUGAUCUUCACUCCUGGAUCUGAAUUUUUCUGGACUGUCUCCCUUACCACUUCUGCAGGACACAAUUGCAACAGAAUUUUCCUUGAAUCAACGGAGGACUAUUACUUGAUGAGAUCAUUGUUUUCAGACAAUGAUUUAUGGGCAGCUGGAAUUUGCAUGCAUUGCUCCGAAUCUGUGGAAGAAUCUAUGUGGUUGUUCAUGGCCUUCAGAAACAUGGAUGCUGCAAAGCAGAGCUAUGGAGAAUAUGGAAAGCAGGCUCAAAAAGCAUCUGCAAACCUGUGCCAAUAUUACUGCCUCUGUCAUCAAGCAAUGGAAAGGUUUUUCUAGUUAAAUUCAAGUAAUUAAAUCUCCCUGCUCUCAUUAAAAAAAAUACAACUGUCUGCUGCUGGUCUGAAGAAUUGCACAGAGUGAACGUAAAUUUUAAUUUCAUGGUGCAAGUGUUAAAUUAUUGCCAUCUAAGCUGUCUGCCAGUGUUACAUGAAAUCCCACCACAUUUUAAUAAUUCUCCCUUUGUUUUGGAUGGAAAUACCACGUGUUGUGAUUUGGAAGUUUUUAUGUGCAAUUAGAGCCCUGAGAACUACAACAUAAUCACAUUCAAUUCACCUAAUUGGAC
rnacentral:lncRNA from 1 species